rnacentral:lncRNA from 1 species
GAAUUGCCUUUAGAUUCUAUCAUGCCUUUGAUCACACAUAACACAGUGCUGGACACGUAGUGAAUGUCCUUCAACACCUCCUAUUCAGCAUACUUCCCAUAUGUAUGCAGGCACUGUGUGACUGACCACCUGGGGCAGGUAAACAGAGCUGCACCAUGCUGCCACAGAGCUGGACCCAAAGUGUUCUGAGAAGUGUCCACAUAACCCAGGCAAGCAUCAAGGAAGAGAAGCUGUGCAGAAAGAGCAACAUCUCUAGGAGUAGCUUUUACAAGUGAAGAGAGAUUGUGCAAGUGAAUAAAAGAAAGUCAGCGAUUCCAGGCAAGGGGAAUUGCAUGGUCAAAGGCACUAAGGUAUAAUGUGCCUGGCAAAUAGACUUCUGCAGGACUAGAGAGCUGGAUUUGUGGAGAGAUGGCAUAGUAGAAGCAGGCCCAGGCCACAUUAGCAAAAGUUUUUCUUGUACACCAUGUUAAAAGUCUGGGUUUUGUCUCCAAGACAAUUGUAGAACUCUUACAGUAAGGACUCUCUACAGAGAAAUGACAUAAUCUUAUUAACAUAAUAAUGUUUAAAAUAUCACUAUAGCAGCAGUAUGGAGAAUAGAAUGGUAAGGAAUUAAUACUGGACGCUGUUGCAAGAUUCUAGGCAAAAAAAUUUUUAGGAACUGAAUUAAGACUGUGGCUGUACAGGUAGGGAUAAAGAGAAGGAAGCAGAGUCAGGCGAUGAUAAACAGCGCUGGCAGAACUUGUGAAUCGCCUUGAUGGAGAGGAAAGAGGAAGAGAAUCGUCCAAGAUGACCCUAGGGUCUUGCAUUGAGUGACUGGGUAGAUGGUGGCUUAUUUUCCCCAAACAGGCAAUACAGGAGGAGAUACAGAUCUGGGGGGGUCUACCAAGGGAGAUAAUCCAUUUACUUUCCUAGUUGUAGAACUUAAGAGUACCUCUAAGGAGGAAGUCACAUUUACUAGCAUAUAAGAACCAUGAGAAUGGGGACCUUGUUGGUUUCAUUCACUAUGUCCUCAGUGCCUAGCACAGCACACAGCAGAUGAUAAAUCCUGGUAAAUUCUAGUCGAAUGUGUGUUCCUCGACACAGUUUUGGGUCCAGGUCUCAGCUAUUAUUCAAUGCUCUUUGGUUUUCUUCCAUAGAAAAUCCUAGAACCUCCUUUGAUGUUGACCGAGGUUGUCUUGCCUCCAGAAAUAAGAGAUUCUGCUCCAUGCUGGCGGGGACAAACAGGUAUAGAAAAUUAUACUUCUAGCAACACACAGAUAGCAGCGCUGAUGGCACUGUGAUUUCACAAUGGGUUGCACAACACAAAAGAGAGAAAUUCCUGCAUACCUCGGGGACAACUAAGGCUGGAAUAAUACGAUCCUUAACCAGAAUCGUGCAAGAAGAUGGAAAUUU